rnacentral:lncRNA from 1 species
GUGAGAGAGAAUAGAGGGGUUGAUUUUGUGGGCCACAGUGAGGACUCUGGAUUACUCAGAGAGAUCAGGAGUCCUGUAGGUUUCUGACCUGACCUGACAUAUUUCAAAAGCAUCGUUCAAUCUGCUGUGUUAAAAAUAGACCACAGACAGACAAGGGCAACAGCAGGGUGACCAGCCGCGAGCCUCCUGCACUAACCCAGGUGAGAGGAAAUGGCGGCUCGGCCCAGGGUGGCAGCCUGGAGGUGGUGAGAAACGGCCGGGUUCUGGGUACACUCUGAAGGUGGAGCCAGCACACUUUCCUCUUGGGAGGAAUUCCUUGCAGGAAGAAGAAUCAAUCGCCAAGAGACAAUGGGAUUCCUUUCAACUCACCUUCUCUUCGCUCCAAAUUCCAGAGAUGAGACGAGAGACGGCUUCCGAGGCUGAUAGAGAUGGAUUUUGCCGGGAGAGUGCCAACGUCGCUCCUCCCGCCUCCCGUCGGCCCUCUGCCAAAGUCUUCCCAUCGGACAUCUGGCCCCAGCAGGGAGAAACAGGGACCAAGGCACUUAUUUUGGCUUUGACGUCAGCGAAGGAAGGCUGAGUAAAUUCAUCAUUAGUGCAAAUUAAAAUCCACCAAACCGUAUCUCUCUUCGUUACAUCGCCUGCAUUUCUAGAGCUGACAGAGGUCUCGCUUUCCUUUUGUUUUUGUUUUGCUCUGGAUUAAGGUGUGAUUUUUUUUUAAAAACAGUUAAUUGGAAGAUAAUAAUGCCAGCGAGCUUAUUGUUAAUUAUUUGUAUCUGUACUUAAUACUGAGAAGUGUGCUCUGUUCUCACGAGCUAAUAUUUGGCUUGUCAGAUGUUGUUAGUCGUUGUAAUUAAUGGAGCCCAUAUACAUUUACUGGAGCUGUGGGUAGAGUUAUAGGAACAGCGGGAGAUAUGAAAUUUCUCCACCACCCCGCCCUUAUCCCUAGAAAGAGAACUUUGGGGCGUCGAGUCCUUCUUGUGACAUUCAUUGGUUAUCCGUCUGUAAGACCCUCCAUAUCCUCUCUCUCGGCUCCCUGUUAUUUUCCUUUGUACCAUCAGGGCCAGCUGCAUUGCUUCUGGGGCCCAGUGAAAAACAAAAACAUGGAGGCCGGCCCGUGGCUGAGUGGCUAAGCUCGCGCGCACGCGCACUCUGCUGCAGGCAGCCCAGUGUUUCCUCUGUUCAAAUCCUGGGCGCGGACAUGGCACCACUCAUCCAGCCACGCUGAGGCGGCGUCCCUCAUGCCACAGCUAGAAAGACCCAC